CAGCAGCCGCGGGAAUACGAAGGGGGCUAGCGUUGUUCGGAUUUACUGGGCGUAAAGCGCACGUAGGCGGACUUUUAAGUCAGGGGUGAAAUCCCGGGGCUCAACCCCGGAACUGCCUUUGAUACUGGAAGUCUUGAGUAUGGUAGAGGUGAGUGGAAUUCCGAGUGUAGAGGUGAAAUUCGUAGAUAUUCGGAGGAACACCAGUGGCGAAGGCGGCUCACUGGACCAUUACUGACGCUGAGGUGCGAAAGCUUGGGGAGCAAACAGGAUUAGAUACCCCUGUAGUCCCUGUCUCUUAUAC
rnacentral:rRNA from 1 species